rnacentral:rRNA from 1 species
AGUCUACCUGCCCACUGAAUUUAUUUAAAUGGCCGCAGUAUCCUAACUGUGCAAAGGUAGCAUAAUCAUUAGUCUUUUAAUUGAAGGCUGGUAUGAAUGGUUGGACGAGAUAUUAACUGUUUCAUAAAAAUUUAUAAUAGAAUUUUAUUUUUUAGUCAAAAAGCUAAAAUAAAAUUAAAAGACGAGAAGACCCUAUAAAUCUUUAUAUAUAAACUAUUAGAAUUUUGUAGAUUUUUUUUAUUAUAAUAGUUGAUUAUAUUUUAUUGGGGUGAUAUUAAAAUUUAAUAAACUUUUAAUUGUUUAAAUCAUUAAUUUAUGAAUAAUUGAUCCGUUAAUAACGAUUAAAAAAAUAAGUUACUUUAGGGAUAACAGCGUAAUUUUUUUGGAGAGUUCAUAUCGAUAAAAAAGAUUGCGACCUCGAUGUUGGAUUAAGAUAUAGUUUUAGGUGUAGCCGCUUAAAUUUUAAGUCUGUUCGACUUUUAAAUUCUUAC